rnacentral:rRNA from 1 species
AUUGAACGCUGGCGGCAGGCUUAACACAUGCAAGUCGAGCGAGCGGCGGACGGGUGAGUAAUGUCUGGGAAACUGCCUGCUGGAGGGGGAUAACUACUGGAAACGGUAGCUAAUACCGCAUACCAUCAGAUGUGCCCAAGUGGGAUUCGCUAGUAGGUGGGGUAAUGGCGCACCUAGGGCACGCUCCCUAUCUGGUCUGAGAGGAUGACCAGCCAAACUGGAACGUGGACACGGUCCAGAGUCCUACGUGAGGCAGCAGUGGGGAAUAUUGCACAAUGGGCGCAAGCCUGAUGCAGCCAUGACGCGUGUGUGAAGAAGGCCUUCGGGUUGUAAAGCACUUUCAGCGAGGAGGCGGUACUCGCAGAAGAAGAACCGGCUAACUCCGUGCCAGCAGCCGCGGUAAUAC